AGGCAGAAUUGCUUGGGCCGAGUUUGUUUUGGAGGGUGGAGAGAAGAGACACUGGAGGGAGCCAAUCUCCGAGCGUGGAAUCCCAAAUCCUCCCUCGCUGGGGACUGUUUUGACUGAACGGGGCUCGCUUCGCACAGAGGACCCCGGCCGAGAAGAGCGCGGAUGGGUUCAAGAAGAAACGAAAGCUCCCUUUCGCUCAACUCCACUGUUGUCCCCAAAAACUGGGCUCUUGCUUGGGGUCGAAGCCGAUAAGUCACCGGACGCAAGAGCGGAAUAAAAGAACAAACAGUUUUAUCUGAGCCAGCUCCACGACCCCCCUCUCCUUCCUCAGUGAGAGAGAGAGGGGGGAGAGGAGCAAAGCUCGUAAUUUCCAAGGCAAAGAAAUGAAGACAAGAGAAAAUGCUUUAUCAGAAUUCACAUUCCUCACUCUCAUGUCCACUCCAUCCACAUCUGGGUCCUAUCGCCACAUCUGGCCCUUCCUCUGAUCCCCCAGGGCCUCAUCUGGACAUACAUGCCAUCAUCUGAAUCUUCACCACCAUUCCCACCUUCUAGGAGUUCAAUCAAGAACUUUGGAGAACUUCCUUCGCUGUUGGCUCACGUCUUCCAAUGAACAACUUCUCGGUCUUUUCAAACUUAUCCUCUUCAGCCAAGUUUGAACUUUAAUGACUCUUUAAAGAGGGGUAAGUUACGGUUUGAGAGCGUGAUGUGAGUUCAUAGUAAAAUGUAGUCCGAAACCAACUGAAGUGAGAAACAUCCAUGGCAGAAAUGGAUGUCUGAAGCCAUUCUGAGGUUUUUUCCAGGAAUUCCAAUGACAGCUCCCAUCUUUGAUAACUUUUAGCCUCUCUUUGGCUUAAAACAGCUAAGUCCAGAAAACGUUCUCCAUGGAAUGGAAAAGAAUAAUUACUGGAAGACAACUUAUUAUAUAUUUAUCAUAUGGAGCAUCCACAUCACAUUCCCACAAGAAAAAAACACAAGAGAUAAAAAUAUGAAAUAUAAAAUAUUAUAAACGUA